UACAGAGACUGCAAGCGUUAUUCGGAUUCACUGGGCGUAAAGGGUGCGCAGGCGGCCGUGUGUGUGAGGCGUGAAAGCCCGAUGCUUAACAUCGGAAUUGCACCUCAAACUACACGGCUAGAGCAUUGGAGAGGGUAGCGGAAUUCACGGUGUAGCAGUGAAAUGCGUAGAGUAUCGUGAGGAACACCAGAGGCGAAGGCGGCUACCUGGACAAUUGCUGACGCUCAGGCACGAAAGCGUGGGGAGCAAAAGGG
rnacentral:rRNA from 1 species